CAAGUGGGUCUUCAGGUGCCAAUCCCGGAUGAGCCCCCAAUGAAAGACCCCGAGAGGAGUCCCUUGCUCAAGCCUCGGGAUAAUAGCGGACCCCCAAGAACUCAUGAGAGA
rnacentral:pre_miRNA from 7 species